rnacentral:rRNA from 1 species
UGGGGGUUUGAUUCUGGCUCAGAUUGAACGCUGGCGGGAUGCUUUAUGCAAGUCGAACGGCGGCACGGACUUCGGUCUGGUGGCGAGUGAACAGGUGAGUAAUGUAUCGGAACGUGCCUAGUAGCGGGAUGUCGCGAAAGCGUAGCUAAUACCGCAUACGCCCUUCGGGGGAAAGCGGGGGGACCUUCGGGCCUCGCACUAUUAGAGCGGCCGAUAUCGGAUUAGCUAGUUGGUGGGGUAACGGCUCACCAAGGCGACGAUCCGUAGCUGGUUUGAGAGGACGACCAGCCACACUGGGACUGAGACACGGCCCAGACUCCUACGGGAGGCAGCAGUGGGGAAUUUUGGACAAUGGGGAAACCCUGAUCCAGCCAUCCCGCGUGUGCGAUGAAGGCCUUCGGGUUGUAAAGCACUUUUUGGCAGAAAGAAACGGCGCGGGAUAAUACCCCGUGCAACUGACGGUACCUGCAGAAUAAGCACCGGCUAACUACGUGCCAGCAGCCGCGGUGUACGUAGGGUGCAAGCGUUAAUCGGAAUUACUGGGCGUAAAGCGUGCGCAGGCGGUUCGGAAAGAAGAUGUGAAAUCCCAGAGCUUAACUUUGGAACUGCAUUUUUUAACUACCGAGCUAGAGUGUGUCAGAGGGAGGUAGAAUUCGCGUGUAGCAGUGAAAUGCGUAGAUAUGCGGAGGAACACCGAUGGCGAAGGCAGCCUCCUGGGAUAACACUGACGCUCAUGCACGAAAGCGUGGGGAGCAAACAGGAUUAGAUACCCUGGUAGUCCACGCCUAAACGAUGUCAACUAGCUGUUGGGGCCUUCGGGCCUUGGUAGCGCAGCUAACGCGUGAAGUUGACCGCCUGGAAGUACAGUCGCAAGAUUAAAACUCAAAGGAAUUGACGGGGACCCGCACAAGCGGUGGAUGAUGUGGAUUAAUUCGAUGCAACGCGAAAAACCUUACCUACCCUUGACAUGUCUGGAAUCCCGAAGAGAUUUGGGAGUGCUCGCAAGAGAACCGGAACACAGGUGCUGCAUGGCUGUCGUCAGCUCGCGUCGUGAGAUGUUGGGUUAAGUCCCUGUAGGCACAACCCUUGUCAUUAGUUGCUACGAAAGAGGGCACUCUAAUGAGACUGCCGGUGACAAACCGGAGGAAGGUGGGGAUGACGUCAAGUCCUCAUGGCCCUUAUGGGUAGGGCUUCACACGUCAUACAAUGGUCGGGACAGAGGGGUCGCCAACCCGCGAGAGGCCAAUCCCGAAGCCCGAUCGUAGUCCGGAUCGCAGUCUGCAACUCGACUGCGUGAAGUCGGAAUCGCUAGUAAUCGCGGAUCAGCAUGUCGCGGUGAAUACGUUGGGUCUUGUACACACCGCCCGUCACACCAUGAGUGGGUUUUACCAAGUAGUUAGCCUAACCGUAAGGAGGGCGAUUACCACGGUAGGAUUCAUGACUGGGGUGAAGUCGUAACAAGGUAA